CAUUGGAUCCUGUUCGCUGCCAUUUUGCAGCAUCACUUUGCCCUGGAGGUCAAAGCAGUGCAGACCAAUGACCAGCACCCGUACCAGAGCACCAAUCCCCGGCCCCUGGCGCUGGUAGGUGCAAUCCGCCCGGAGCUGGAUUCCUGCCUUACGAGCAGCAUGUUUAUGAGUUAUAGACAAAGGCACAGGAUCACGAGAUACCCACAUCAUGUAUGGUCCUCACAACAUUCAGACAGGUAAGAC